UUGGAGGGCAAGUCUGGUGCCAGCAGCCGCGGUAAUUCCAGCUCCAAUAGCGUAUAUUAAAGUUGUUGCAGUUAAAAAGCUCGUAGUUGAAUUUCGGGGUUCUACCGUUGGUCGGGCAAUAGUCUGUACUGGUGUGUAGAAUUUCUACCUUCUGGGGAACUAUCAUGUUAUUUAUUUAGCGUGGUAGGAAACCAGGACCUUUACCUUGAAAAAAUUAGAGUGUUCAAAGCAGGCUUACGUCUGAAUACAUUAGCAUGGAAUAAUAAAAUAGGACGGUGGUCCUGUUUUGUUGGUUUCUGAAUCACCGUAAUGAUUAAUAGGGAUAGUUGGGGGCAUUAGUAUUCAAUUGUCAGAGGUGAAAUUCUUGGAUUUAUUGAAGACUAACUUCUGCGAAAGCAUUUGCCAAGGAUGUUUUCAUUAAUCAAGAACGAAAGUUAGGGGAUCGAAGACGAUCAGAUACCGUCGUAGUCUUAACCAUAAACUAUGCCGACUAGGGAUCGGACGAUGUUAAUUUUUCUUGACUCGUUCGGCACCUUACGGGAAAC
rnacentral:rRNA from 1 species